GUCUAUGGCCAUAUUACCCUGAGCGCACCUGAUUUCAUCUGAUCUCGGAAGGUAAGCAGGGUUGGGCCUGGUUAUUACUUGGAUGGGAGUCCUUUAUAUUUUGCAGCCGACU
rnacentral:rRNA from 1 species